GUCGAGCUACUACGGUAGUGAAGUCAUUGAUGCCAUGCUUCCAGGAAAAGCCUCUAAGCUUCAGAUUAUAAGCAAUCGUACCCCAAACCGACACAGGUGGUCGGGUAGAGAAUACCAAGGCGCUUGAGAGAACUCGGGUGAAGGAACUAGGCAAAAUGGUACCGUAACUUCGGGAGAAGGUACGCUCUUGGCGGUGAAGUCCCUAGCGGAUGGAGCUACUGAGAGUCGCAGAUACCAGGUGGCUGCAACUGUUUAUUAAAAACACAGCACUGUGCAAAAUCGUAAGAUGACGUAUACGGUGUGACGCCUGCCCGGUGCCGGAAGGUUAAUUGAUGGGGUUAGACUUAGGUCGAAGCUCUUGAUCGAAGCCCCGGUAAACGGCGGCCGUAACUAUAACGGUCCUAAGGUAGCGAAAUUCCUUGUCGGGUAAGUUCCGACCUGCACGAAUGGCGUAAUGAUGGCCACGCUGUCUCCACCCGAGACUCAGUGAAAUUGAAAUCGCUGUGAAGAUGCAGUGUACCCGCGGCUAGACGGAAAGACCCCGUGAACCUUUACUACAGCUUGGCACUGAACAUUGAACCUACAUGUGUAGGAUAGGUGGGAGACUUAGAAGCGCAGUCGCUAGAUUGCGUGGAGUCGUCCUUGAAAUACCACCCUUGUAGUUUUGAUGUUCUAACGUAGGCCCCUAAUCGGGGUUGCGGACAGUGCCUGGUGGGUAGUUUGACUGGGGCGGUCUCCUCCCAAAGAGUAACGGAGGAGCACGAAGGUGGGCUAAACACGGUUGGACAUCGUGUGGUUAGUGCAAUGGCAUAAGCCCGCUUAACUGCGAGAAUGACAAUUCGAGCAGGUACGAAAGUAGGUCAUAGUGAUCCGGUGGUUCUGAAUGGAAGGGCCAUCGCUCAACGGAUAAAAGGUACUCCGGGGAUAACAGGCUGAUACCGCCCAAGAGUUCAUAUCGACGGCGGUGUUUGGCACCUCGAUGUCGGCUCAUCACAUCCUGGGGCUGAAGUCGGUCCCAAGGGUAUGGCUGUUCGCCAUUUAAAGUGGUACGCGAGCUGGGUUUAGAACGUCGUGAGACAGUUCGGUCCCUAUCUGCCGUGGGCGUUGGAAGAUUGAAGGGGGCUGCUCCUAGUACGAGAGGACCGGAGUGGACGAACCUCUGGUGUUCGGGUUGUUACGCCAGUAGCAUUGCCCGGUAGCUAAGUUCGGAAUCGAUAACCGCUGAAAGCAUCUAAGCGGGAAGCGAGCCCUGAGAUGAGUCUUCCCUGGCACUUUAAGUGUCCUAAAGGGUUGUUCGAGACUAGAACGUUGAUAGGUUGGGUGUGUAAGCGCUG
rnacentral:rRNA from 1 species